rnacentral:rRNA from 1 species
AUUGGGCGUAAGGGCUCGCAGGCGGUUUCUUAAGUCUGAUGUGAAAGCCCCCGGCUCAUCCGGGGAGGGUCAUUGGAAACUGGGAAACUUGAGUGCACAAGAGGAGAGUGGAAUUCCACGUGUAGCGGUGAAAUGCGUAGAGAUGUGGAGGAACACCAGUGGCGAAGGCGACUCUCUGGUCUGUAACUGACGCUGAGGAGCGAAAGCGUGGGGAGCGAACAGGAUUAGAUACCCUGGUAGUCCACGCCGUAAACGAUGAGUGCUAAGUGUUAGGGGGUUUCCGCCCCUUAGUGCUGCAGCUAACGCAUUAAGCACUCCGCCUGGGGAGUACGGUCGCAAGACUGAAACUCAAAGGAAUUGACGGGGGCCCGCACAAGCGGUGGAGCAUGUGGUUUAAUUCGAAGCAACGCGAAGAACCUUACCAGGUCUUGACAUCCUCUGACAACCCUAGAGAUAGGGCUUUCCCUUCGGGGACAGAGUGACAGGUGGUGCAUGGUUGUCGUCAGCUCGUGUCGUGAGAUGUUGGGUUAAGUCCCGCAACGAGCGCAACCCUUGAUCUUAGCUGCCAGCAUUCAGUU